GGGCGCAGCAGGCGCGAAACCUCCGCAAUGCGGGAAACCGCGACGGGGGGACCCCCAGUGCCGUGCCUCUGGCACGGCUUUUCCGGAGUGUAAAAAGCUCCGGGAAUAAGGGCUGGGCAAGGCCGGUGGCAGCCGCCGCGGUAAUACCGGCGGCCCGAGUGGUGGCCACUAUUAUUGGGCCUAAAGCGGCCGUAGCCGGGCCCGUAAGUCCCUGGCGAAAUCCCACGGCUCAACCGUGGGGCUCGCUGGGGAUACUGCGGGCCUUGGGACCGGGAGAGGCCGGGGGUACCCCCGGGGUAGGGGUGAAAUCCUAUAAUCCCGGGGGGACCGCCAGUGGCGAAGGCGCCCGGCUGGAACGGGUCCGACGGUGAGGGCCGAAGGCCAGGGGA
rnacentral:rRNA from 16 species